rnacentral:tRNA from 1 species
UCCCUGGUGGUCCAGUGGCUAAGACUCUACACUCCAAGUGUUGGGGGCCUGGGUUCAAUCCCUGGUCAGGGAG